AAGGGCGUUUGGCGGAUGCCUUGGCACUGAGAGGCGAUGAAGGACGUGGCAGGCUGCGAUAAGCUUCGGGGAGUUGCCAGCACACUUUGAUCCGAAGAUUUCCGAAUGGGGAAACCCCAUCCAUCAGGAUGAUCGUUGACUGAAUCCAU
rnacentral:rRNA from 1 species